rnacentral:lncRNA from 1 species
AUGAGUUUGAUAUGAAUGAGGCUGAUUUGAGUGAGGGUGUAGUUGAGAGGAAUGAAGUUGGAGCUAAUUAUGUUGGGAUUUAUGAAGCUGAGUUGAGUAAGGGUGUAGUUAAGAGGAAUGAAGUUAAAGUUAAUAAUGUUGGGAUGAAUGAAGUUGAGUUGAGCGGGGGUGUAGUUGGAGGCAAUGUUGUUGAGGUGAAUGGAGUUGAGAUUAAUGGGAUUGAGUUGAAUGUAUGUAGAG